rnacentral:rRNA from 1 species
CGUAGGUGGCAAGCGUUGUCCGGAUUUAUUGGGUCUAAAGGGUGCGUAGGUGGCCCUGUAAGUCAGUGGUGAAAUAUCUCAGCUUAACUGAGAGGGUGCCAUUGAUACUGCAGGGCUUGAGUACAGAUGAGGUAGGCGGAAUUGACGGUGUAGCGGUGAAAUGCAUAGAUAUCGUCAAGAACACCGAUAGCGAAGGCAGCUUACCAAGCUGUAACUGACACUGAGGCACGAAAGUGUGGGGAUCAAACAGGAUUAGAUACCCUGGUAGUCCACACUGUAAACGUUGAUGACUCGAUGUUGGCGAUACACAGCCAGCGUCCAAGAGCAAUCGUUAAGUCAUCCACCUGGGGAGUACGCCGGCAACGGUG